rnacentral:tRNA from 1 species
GAAGGUAUAACUUAAGUGGAAAAGUAAUAACUUAAAACUUAAGAACCUUGGUUUAACUCCAAGUACCUUUC